rnacentral:rRNA from 1 species
GGGAAGCGAAACCGCGAGGUAGAGCAAAUCCCCAAAAACGGUACUCAGUUCGGAUUGCAGGCUGCAACUCGCCUGUAUGAAGUCGGAAUUGCUAGUAAUCGCGGAUCAGCAUGCCGCGGUGAAUACGUUCCCGGGCCUUGUACACACCGCCCGUCACACCAUGAGAGCCGGGAACACCCGAAGUCCGUAGUCUAACCGCAAGGAGGACGCGGCCGAAGGUGGGUUUGGUAAUUGGGGUGAAGUCGUAACAAGGUACC